rnacentral:rRNA from 1 species
GGGGAAUAUUGCACAAUGGGGGAAACCCUGAUGCAGCGACGCCGCGUGGAGGAAGAAGGUCUUCGGAUUGUAAACUCCUGUUGUUGAGGAAGAUAAUGACGGUACUCAACAAGGAAGUGACGGCUAACUACGUGCCAGCAGCCGCGGUAAAACGUAGGUCACAAGCGUUGUCCGGAAUUACUGGGUGUAAAGGGAGCGCAGGCGGGAGAACAAGUUGGAAGUGAAAUCCAUGGGCUCAACCCAUGAACUGCUUUCAAAACUGUUUUUCUUGAGUAGUGCAGAGGUAGGCGGAAUUCCCGGUGUAGCGGUGGAAUGCGUAGAUAUCGGGAGGAACACCAGUGGCGAAGGCGGCCUACUGGGCACCAACUGACGCUGAGGCUCGAAAGUGUGGGUAGCAAACAGGAUUAGAUACCCUGGUAGUCCACACCGUAAACGAUGAUUACUAGGUGUUGGAGGAUUGACCCCUUCAGUGCCGCAGUUAACACAAUAAGUAAUCCACCUGGGGAGUACGACCGCAAGGUUGAAACUCAAAGGAAUUGACGGGGGCCCGCACAAGCAGUGGAGUAUGUGGUUUAAUUCGACGCAACGCGAAGAACCUUACCAAGUCUUGACAUCCGUUGACCGACAUAGAAAUAUGUUUUUCCUUCGGGACAGCGAGACAGGUGGUGCAUGGUUGUCGUCAGCUCGUGUCGUGAGAUGUUGGGUUAAGUCCCGCAACGAGCGCAACCCUUAUGGUCAGUUACUACGCAAGAGGACUCUGGCCAGACUGCCGUUGACAAAACGGAGGAAGGUGGGGAUGACGUCAAAUCAUCAUGCCCUUUAUGACUUGGGCUACACACGUACUACAAUGGCGUUAAACAAAGAGAAGCAAGACCGCGAGGUGGAGCAAAACUCAGAAACAACGUCCCAGUUCGGACUGCAGGCUGCAACUCGCCUGCACGAAGUCGGAAUUGCUAGUAAUCGCGCAUCAGCCACGGCGCGGUGAAUACGUUCCCG